rnacentral:rRNA from 1 species
AUGGCUCAGAUUGAACGCUGGCGGCGUGCUUAACACAUGCAAGUCGAACGCGAAAGGGACUUCGGUCCUGAGUAAAGUGGCGCACGGGUGAGUAACGCGUGGAUAAUCUGCCCUUAUGAUCGGGAUAACAGUUGGAAACGGCUGCUAAUACCGGAUACGCUCAAAAUGAACUUUUUUGAGGAAAGAUGGCCUCUGCUUGCAUGCUAUCACGUAAGGAUGAGUCCGCGUCCCAUUAGCUUGUUGGCGGGGUAACGGCCCACCAAGGCAACGAUGGGUAGCCGAUUUGAGAGGAUGAUCGGCCACACUGGAACUGAAACACGGUCCAGACUCCUACGGGAGGCAGCAGUGGGGAAUAUUGCGUAAUGGGCGAAAGCCUGACGCAGCGACGCCGCGUGAGGGAUGAAGGUUUUCGGAUCGUAAACCUCUGUCAGUAGGGAAGAAACUACGUUGUGCUAAUCAGCAGCGUACUGACGGUACCUUCAAAGGAAGCACCGGCUAACUCCGUGCCAGCCGCUGC